GGGACAAAACUGCAUUCUCAACCAAAGGACCAGAGCCCUGAGCAGAGACAUGGCCUGGCUGGUCCUUCCUAAAUCUUCCAGGGGCACCCAGCUCCUCUCUUGCAUGGCCCUGUGUCUGCUGGGUGCAGGGUCAGUGGCUGCUGGAGUCACCCAGUCCCCAAGACACCUCAUCAAAGGCCGCAGUGGGGAGGCUGUUCUGAACUGCCACCCCAUCUCCGGACACAAGAGUGUGUACUGGUACCAACAGGCUCAAGGGCAGGGACCUAGGUUUCUCAUUCAGUAUUAUGAAAAGCAGGAGUACAUGAAAGGAGACAUCCCAGAUCACUUCUCAGUAAAAGUAUUCAGUGACUACAGCUCCGAGCUGACCAUGCGCACCUUGCAGGUGGAAGACUCGGCCGUGUACCUCUGUGCCAGCAGCAGGGGGGAGCACUCAGUGCACCAUUUCCUAGACAGGGAGCUGCAGCUGCUGGACCUUCCAAACGUCCCAUGCACGUGCAUCCUCCAUCUCCACGCCUCUGAAGUCAACAAGCGCCUGGAUUCCAUGGUCCUGCCUGGGCCUUGGUCCAUGGGAUAG